rnacentral:rRNA from 1 species
UACGUAGGAGGCAAGCGUUGUCCGGAAUUACUGGGCGUAAAGCGCGUGUAGGUGGUGGGACAAGUCUGCUGUGAAAGCGCCUGGCUUAACCGGGCGAGGUCGGCGGAAACUGUCCGACUAGAGGACGGUAGAGGGGGGUGGAAUUCCCAGUGUAGCGGUGAAAUGCGUAGAUAUUGGGAAGAACACCGGUGGCGAAGGCGGCCAUCUGGACCGCAACUGACGCUGAGGCGCGAAAGCGUGGGGAGCAAACAGGG